GACGAACGCUGGCGGCGUGCUUAACGCAUGCAAGUCGAACGGUAAGGCCCUUCGGGGUACACGAGUGGCGAACGGGUGAGUAACACGUGGGUGAUCUGCCCUGCACUUCGGGAUAAGCCUGGGAAACUGGGUCUAAUACCGGAUAGGACCAUGGACUUCACGGUUUGUGGUGGAAAGCUUUUGCGGUGUGGGAUGGGCCCGCGGCCUAUCAGCUUGUUGGUGGGGUAAUGGCCUACCAAGGCGACGACGGGUAGCCGGCCUGAGAGGGUGUCCGGCCACACUGGGACUGAGAUACGGCCCAGACUCCUACGGGAGGCAGCAGUGGGGAAUAUUGCACAAUGGGCGCAAGCCUGAUGCAGCGACGCCGCGUGAGGGAUGACGGCCUUCGGGUUGCAAACCUCUUUCAAUAGGGACGAAGCGCAAGUGACGGUACCUAUAGAAGAA
rnacentral:rRNA from 1 species